CUUACAGCUCUUCAACAGUUGCCACACCUCCUCCCUCCACACCACUCAAAACAAAUGAGCAACUGAGCAGGCAGAGGAGGAAAUCCUUAUGAGGUGGGUGCUCAUUUUGCUGGUCUCCUGGAAUGACCCUUUGCAUCACCUAGUCACAAAGCUGCAGCUCUUCCAUCAAAGGCCAAAGAGAUUGAGGAAGACAACAAAGUACUUCAGGAAGACAUGGAAACUAUAACUGAUUCAUCCUGGAAUCAAGAAGAACAUGACUACUGCUUGUGGUCAGGACUCCCAUCACUGCAGUAAAAAGAUGCAGAUGCCUACCAAACUGCUUUUAAUAACCUGCUCUUGUGCCUGUGCAUGGAUAUAAAUAAGAUUAACACUUACCUCAGGCACCUGAAUUGCUGAAUCAUCUACAAGAAGUGCUAAGCCCAUAUCCCUCACAUGAACUUCUGAGAUGGUUUUUAAUGAUCUAUCCCGUAGCAACUUUCUUUGAGUUUUGCAUCUUU